AACAACAUGAAGGACCUGGAGGUUGCCAUGGUGAGAGACACACGACUGGAGAAACAUGAACAACAUGAAGGACCUGGAGGUUGCCAUGGUGAGAGACACACGACUGGAGAAACAUGAACAACAUGAAGGACCUGGAGGUUGCCAUGGUGAGAGACACACGACUGGAGAAACAUGAACAACAUGAAGGACCUGGAGGUUGCCAUGAUUGCCUGUAGUGGUACAACCAACUCCACUCCUCCCUUCAGCUACCCUGUGUCAGAAUUCUAAAGGCAUCCUGGGAUCAGAAAUCCCAAAAUCUAAUUGAUAAAUUAGAGGGUGCUCCGGGGGAAGCUAGAGUGGCUCACAAUGGACAUCAGAGACAGCUAUGUGGACCAGAGAGGAUAACCUGGGAUUUCUUCUAUCUUUUAUCAAUGCUGAACUGAAGGGUGACCAGAAGACUGCACUAGCACUCUCUGGUGGAAGCUGUCUGUACAACAUGGCAGUGUUUUGCUGCCACCUGGAUUUAUUGAUGGAGUUACAGAGCCCUCUUCUGGUGAUAUACAGCAUGACAUGGUAUGAAUAUGAUGUAUAUGAUUGAUAUUAAAGUGCCCAUGUCAACAAAACACUGAUAUUUUAUUUUGGAACAAUAUUUGCUCAUAU